ACGAACGUUGGCGGCGUGGAUUAGGCAUGCAAGUCGAACGAAGCACGGGGGGUAACUCCCGUGACUGAGUGGCGAAAGGGGCAGUAAGGCGUGGGUAACCUACCCUGGGGACCGGGAUAGCCAUUCUAACGAGUGGGUAAUACCGGGCGACGUAGCGAGGUGGCAUCAUCUUGCUAUCAAAUGAAUUUCGCCCUGGGAGGGGCUCACGUGGUAUUAGCUUGUUGGUGGGGUAACGGCUCACCAAGGCUUAGAUGCCUAGCAGGUGUGAGAGCACGACCUGCGCCACUGGCACUGAGACACUGGCCAGACACCUACGGGUGGCUGCAGUCGAGGAUCUUCGGCAAUGGGCGCAAGCCUGACCGAGCGACGCCGCGUGCGCGAUGAAGGCCUUCGGGUUGUAAAGCGCUGUCGAGGGGGAGGAAGCCGCAAGGUUGACCUAUCCCUGGAGGAAGGACGGGCUAAGUUCGU
rnacentral:rRNA from 1 species